GCGUCGGUGGUAUAACGGUUAGCAUAGCUGCCUUCCAAGCAGUUGACCCGGGUUCGACUCCCGGCUGACGCA
rnacentral:tRNA from 1 species